GUCACAGCCCACCACCAACAGCAAUACUACUACUACUAGUAAACACCGAGGAGGAUCUCCAGAGAGAUUAAUCGCUCCCUCCCUCCCUCGCGGCGUUUCUUGGAUUUGGCUCCGGAGGAGGAAUCCGGAGCGCCCCGUCCGCGUCUCUCGAUCGAAUCGCCGGCCCCGUCGCUUCCGCGGAGCUCCCCCGAUCCCGUCGCCCGGUGCGGUUCGAAUUCCGGCCGAAUUGGCGUUCUUGGCGAUCGGUUUGGAGGCGGGACUGGAUUCUUGAUUGGCUGGCCGGGUUGUCUGUGGGGAGGCUCCGUCGGCCGGGAAUCGCGCCUUCCUCGUCCGGCCAAGGAACUUGCUCAUAUGGUGUUUGCUAAAAUAGAAGAAUCUGGUAAAAGAGGUUGGACGGGGGCUGUACGUGGACAUGAACUCGUUCCAUGGAUUCGGGAGGGAGCAUGUGCCAUGGAACUUUGAGAAGACGGAGAACCAUGUGUACCUCAACAUCGUGCAGUAGCAGAAGCUGGAUCGCCAUGAGCUGGAACGCCCGUUGAAGAAGUCACUCUGCUCACCAUCAGUAUGACAGACUUGUCGCUCAUUAGAUCAUGUAUGUAUCAUCUACUUCUAUGCACAGAUUGUGGCCUAUGUGAAUGACAUGCUUUGAUUGGCAACGUAAUAGUAUCUUCUGUUUGGCUCUGUUUUUCUUAAUAAUGAUGACAGCCAGAAAAUAUUUGCAAUGGAUUCACAUCAUUGUGUUAUUCUGGAGCAGGUUUACCAUAUAUGACAGAAAUUGUGCCAAUUACACACGA